AUAACCAGAAUCAACUAGAAUGUCUGUGUGAUUAAAUUAAAAUGACAUUUUUUUGUAAAGAAAAAACGUUGUGAUUAAUUGAAUUAAAGGUUGGGUUUUCCUGCUCAGUGAGGUUGCACUGCUGCAGAUAAAAAUAUAUUUUUUCCCAUAAUUUUAGCAGGAGAGGAAAUAAUAAUGAAAGUUGCUGAUUGACUGAAAUGACAUCUCGUCGACAGCAGGGGGCAGAAAAGAGCUGCAAAUCAUCCAAACAACCAGCUGCGUUUAUCUUCUGUUUCAUUUCUGAUCACUUCCUGAUGGAGUCGCUAAGUUUUAUCUCCAUCCAUCCAUUUUCUAACACCCACUUUAUUCUGUUAAAACUACCACUUUAUUCUUACAUUACUUUAUUCUUUUGACUGCUGAAGUUGAUGUUUUUAAAUUUCCAGGAAUCCGGUGCAACGAACUGAGGCGAAAGAAACCAAAAUUCAUUAAUUCCUCUGCUCGCUUUUUUUCUUUAUUUAAUUUUUUUACAUUCCUCAUAUUAAAAUGUGAUUUCUGCGCCUCAAAGAUGGACGCCAGAGGGUUAAAACCAAGCAGUAAACAUCUUCUCGCAGUCCCAGAUCAGGGGUUGUAAACAUCACAACACCCACACUUUACCGCCCAGACGAUGCAUAUUCAUAGUUACAUGCGAGUCAUUAGGGAUGUGUUUUAUUAGUCUAUCCCUCCAUCCGUCCCUUUUUGCCUAAACUGUAAUUACUGGGAGGCCAAUGGAAGGAUGCGGCCCCCGCCUGCUCUCAGCCAGAUUGUAAUGGCUUCAUAAGCGCCGCUGAUUGAAUUGAUUGCCGCAGUCGGAGUCUGGCUGAGACGUACAAUGGGGCGGAAUAUGCGCAUUAAUCAGCUCGGCCUGCAUGGCUCUCGCUUUUAUUUCCAGGUAUACAGGUGAGAAAUGUACACAGCGCCAAUCGUAAACAAGUCACGCCGCCGGCAAACACGAUCUAACUUUUCCCCCGCCACGCAGGUCUGCGGCAUCCAACGUCGAGCAGCAAUCAAGCGUGUCUGGAGGAAACUUCCUGCUAGCUGUUUCACAUUUACCAACCAGAACAAAACGUAUUUUUAUCACCAAUUUUAUUUAAAUACAAACAAAACGACCUGGAAAUCAAUCAUUUGUGGUGGAGUAGUACAAAAACAUUAAUUAAACCCUGAAAAAGUUGAUAGUUUUAAGACAUUUUAAACAGUUUUUAACAGUGGCGUAUACAGAAUAUUUAAGGUGUAGCACAUCAAAUCGCGAGUAGCCUUAGCGUGAGAUUUUUUCCUCGUUUAUAUCUUGAGCCAAACACAAUAAAUACAAUGUCAGAAAAAGAUCAGAAGGACAUUUUGGUCUAGAGCACAAAAAAUAAAAUAAAAAAAUUCAGAAGCACUUUUUUGUCCCAAAAAGGAAGAAAAUAAGAUUUAAGGACUUUUUUUGUCCAUAGAGGAAAAAAAAGAAAACAUUUUGGAAGGACACUUUUUUUAGCCCAGAGGGGAAAAAAGGCAUUUCCUAAAGUUUUACUUAGUUCUGGUCCAAGCUUUUAAACAGGAAGUUAUCUGAAUAGCCAAACUAUUCUAUCAAUGCAAUUUCUUAAAGCAAAAUUCUUGUAAUAUAUUUUAUCUUUAUUUUAUUGGAGUAUAUAUUUAUUCCUGCGUUCAUUCUGGACGAGUCUUUCACAUAUAGACAAAAACAGGAAAAAUUUUUCCAGCAAUAAUCUAAAAACAUGACUUUACUAAAACAAAAACUACAAAUUCGAGGUCCAUUACAUGUAAAUAACAUCUUUUAUUACUAUGCAAAUGUCAUACCUUUAGCUACUUUACAUCAGAAAUCAAACAAAAGAGAAUAAAUAAGUACAGAUAAGUCAUUGGAGAUUAUGAGGGUUCUUUAUUGAAAAUGCUUGACAGUUUAUAAAAGUCACAUGUUGAUUUACAGAGAUUUCCUUCAUAUGUGUGAGAUUUCAAACCAGGUUUGUGGUUCCCAACAUUCCCAACAGAUAAAAAUGUCAGAUCAGAUGGGAAACUUGGUGACUAUCUGAUCAACAAGCUUUUUUAUUCUCUUUUUUUGGAAUAUUUACAUAUAUUUGGCAAUUUUACAAGCAGAAACACAGAAACACAAACUUACCCGUAAGCUGCCAGUAGGGGGCGAUAUUU